GAAUCCUUUGCAGACGACUUAAA
rnacentral:snRNA from 1 species